AGAACGAACGCUGGCGGCGCGUUUAAGCAUGCAAGUCGAGCGGCAAGGGCCUUCGGGCCCCUAGAGCGGCGGACGGGUGAGUAACACGUGGACAAUCUGCCCCCCGGCCCGGGAUAGCCCAGGGAAACCUGGAUUAAUACCGGAUGAGACGGGACCCGCGAUGGCGGGAUCCGGGAAAGGCGCUGCGGCGCCGCCGGGGGAUGAGUCUGCGUCCCAUUAGCUAGACGGCGGGGUAACGGCCCACCGUGGCGACGAUGGGUAGCCGGCCUGAGAGGGUGGACGGCCACAUUGGAACUGAGACACGGUCCAGACUCCUACGGGAGGCAGCAGCUAAGAAUCUUCCGCAAUGGGCGAAAGCCUGACGGAGCCGACGCCGCGUGAACGAAGAAGGCCGUGAGGUUGUAAAGUUCUUUUCGGGAGGGGGAACAACCGUGGCAGGGAAUGGCCGCGGGAUGACGUGAAUCCCGGAAUAAGCCCCGGCUAACUACGUGCCAGCCGCCGC
rnacentral:rRNA from 1 species